CAGGCCUUCCCGGGCACCAGGGGGCCGCUGGCUGGUAAGAGCCAGGGGAUUAAAGGAGAUCUUCAGAAGAUCCAACCAGCAAGAAACAUGGAAGAUUUCUUCCCAAAGUUCCAGCCAGAUCAGAAGUAGGAGAUGUGUGAGCUGCUUGAGGGAUGGAAAUCAGAAGAGUCUUCUCACCCCAGGCUGACCUCUGUGAGCUCUCAGUUACUUCAAGAAACCUGAAAGUCCCCAAGGUUAAGUCAAGAUCCUUCAGCAGGGCCCAAUCUCUAAGUAUCAAAUGUGACCAAAACCAGCAAAUACUUUUGCAAACCAUUUAACAUCGAUAAAAUAGCAUGUUGUCGUCAAAAAGUUGUAGAAAAUCAGAUUUAAAAUGCAAAAAAAAAAAAAAA